rnacentral:rRNA from 1 species
UAUCUCUGUAGAGUCUGCAUAUCAAUAAGCGGAGGAAAAGAAACUAACAAGGAUUCCCUUAGUAACGGCGAGUGAAGCGGGAAGAGCUCAAAUUUGAAAUCUUCAAGGUUCUACCUUGACGAAUUGUAGUUUAAAGAAGUGUUUUCUGUUAGAUGAGUAGCAAAAGUUCCUUGGAAUGGGACAUCAUAGAGGGUGAGAAUCCCGUAUUUGGUUAUUCAUUCUAGCUUUGUGAUACACUUUCAAAGAGUCGGAUUGUUUGGGAAUGCAGUCCAAAAUGGGUGGUAAAUUUCAUCUAAAGCUAAAUAUUGGCGAGAGACCGAUAGCGAACAAGUACCGUGAGGGAAAGAUGAAAAGAACUUUGAAAAGAGAGUUAAACAGUACGUGAAAUUGUCAAAAGGGAAGCGUUUGACACCAGUGUUGUUUUUCCGAAAAUCAAUUACGAAUGGCUUGAUUUUGUGUUGUAUUGACCUUAUCAGCUUUCUUCACUUUUUUCGAGUCUUUCUUAAUGCACUUUUCGGUUAACAAGUCAACAUCAAUUUCUUUUGUUGUAAAAGAGUAUUCGGAAGGUGGCUUUCUUUUCGGAGAAAGUGUUUAUAGCCCUAUACUUCUACAAUCGGAGAGAUUGAGGUCUGCAGCGUAGAUCCUUCGGGGUUAGAUACAUUUGUGCUAAGUUGUAGCUUUUCAUAGACAACUUGUUGACUAUGUUUAGUCAUGCGGCUUACUCGCUUAUGCUAUUUUACCUACGCUUAGGAUGUUGACUGAUAUGUAGUCGUA